rnacentral:rRNA from 1 species
GGGACACGUGGUAUCCUGUCUGAAUAUGGGGGGACCAUCCUCCAAGGCUAAAUACUCCUGACUGACCGAUAGUGAACCAGUACCGUGAGGGAAAGGCGAAAAGAACCCCGGCGAGGGGAGUGAAAAAGAACCUGAAACCGUGUACGUACAAGCAGUGGGAGCACGCUUAGGCGUGUGACUGCGUACCUUUUGUAUAAUGGGUCAGCGACUUAUAUUCUGUAGCAAGGUUAACCGAAUAGGGGAGCCGAAGGGAAACCGAGUCUUAACUGGGCGUUAAGUUGCAGGGUAUAGACCCGAAACCCGGUGAUCUAGCCAUGGGCAGGUUGAAGGUUGGGUAACACUAACUGGAGGACCGAACCGACUAAUGUUGAAAAAUUAGCGGAUGACUUGUGGCUGGGGGUGAAAGGCCAAUCAAACCGGGAGAUAGCUGGUUCUCCCCGAAAGCUAUUUAGGUAGCGCCUCGUGAAUUCAUCUCCGGGGGUAGAGCACUGUUUCGGCAAGGGGGUCAUCCCGACUUACCAACCCGAUGCAAACUGCGAAUACCGGAGAAUGUUAUCACGGGAGACACACGGCGGGUGCUAACGUCCGUCGUGAAGAGGGAAACAACCCAGACCGCCAGCUAAGGUCCCAAAGUCAUGGUUAAGUGGGAAACGAUGUGGGAAGGCCCAGACAGCCAGGAUGUUGGCUUAGAAGCAGCCAUCAUUUAAAGAAAGCGUAAUAGCUCACUGGUCGAGUCGGCCUGCGCGGAAGAUGUAACGGGGCUAAACCAUGCACCGAAGCUGCGGCAGCGACGCUUAUGCGUUGUUGGGUAGGGGAGCGU